rnacentral:rRNA from 1 species
ACCAGGUUCUCCGACAGAGAGUCCCCCACGAACCCGAUCCGGCGCCGCCUGGCCGCCGCGAGGAACGCGGCGGGAUCGAGCCUCGGGACGGCGCCGCAGCGGGAGGGGGCCCAGGAGAGCGCGGCGACGCGGGGGCGGCCGUUGCGGAGGCAGUUCCAGGCGUUGCGGUGGAAGGGGCAGGAGUUGGUGUAG